rnacentral:rRNA from 1 species
UACAGAGGUCUCAAGCGUUGUUCGGAUUCAUUGGGCGUAAAGGGUGCGUAGGCGGCGCGGUAAGUCGGGUGUGAAAUCUUGGAGCUUAACUCCGAAACCGCAUUCGAUACUGCCGUGCUUGAGGACUGGAGAGGAGACUGGAAUUUACGGUGUAGCGGUGAAAUGCGUAGAUAUCGUAAGGAAGACCAGUGGCGGAAGGCGGGUCUCUGGACAGUUCCUGACGCUGAGGCACGAAGGCCAGGGGGAGCAAACGGG